rnacentral:rRNA from 1 species
UGGGGAAUAUUGCACAAUGGGCGCAAGCCUGAUGCAACCAUGCCGCGUGUAUGAAGAAGGCCUUCGGGUUGUAAAGUACUUUCAGCGGGGAGGAAGGUAGUAAAGUUAAUACCUUUGCUCAUUGACGUUACCCGCAGAAGAAGCACCGGCUAACUCCGUGCCAGCAGCCGCGGUAAUACGGAGGGUGCAAGCGUUAAUCGGAAUUACUGGGCGUAAAGCGCACGCAGGCGGUUUGUUAAGUCAGAUGUGAAAUCCCCGGGCUCAACCUGGGAACUGCAUCUGAUACUGGCAAGCUUGAGUCUCGUAGAGGGGGGUAGAAUUCCAGGUGUAGCGGUGAAAUGCGUAGAGAUCUGGAGGAAUACCGGUGGCGAAGGCGGCGCCCUAGACGAAGACUGACGCUCAGGUGCGAAAGCGUGGGGGGCAAACAGG